rnacentral:rRNA from 1 species
UACAGAGGGGGCAAGCGUUAUCCGGAAUUAUUGGGCGUAAAGAGCUCGUAGGCGGUUUGUCACGUCUGCUGUGAAAACUGGAGGCUCAACCUCCAGCCUGCAGUGGGUACGGGCAGACUAGAGUGCGGUAGGGGAGAUUGGAAUUCCUGGUGUAGCGGUGGAAUGCGCAGAUAUCAGGAGGAACACCGAUGGCGAAGGCAGGUCUCUGGGCCAUAACUGACGCUGAGAAGCGAAAGCAUGGGGAGCGAACAGG